rnacentral:rRNA from 1 species
AGAGUUUGAUCCUGGCUCAGAAUGAACGUUGGCGGCGUGGAUUAGGCAGGCGAGUCGAACGAUAACCUCUUCGGAGGGGAAAGUGGCAAACGGGGUAGUAAGGCGUAGGUGACGUGCCCCAUGGGCGGGGAUAGCUAUGGGAAACUAUAGGUAAUACCCGAUGAUCCCGAGAGGAUUGAAAGCUUUCGGGCAAAGGUGAGAUUCCACCGUGGGAGCGGCUUGCGUGGUAUUAGCUAGUUGGUGAGGUAAUGGCUCACCAAGGCAACGAUGCCUAGGGGGUGUUAGCGCACGACCCCCACCACUGGGACUGAGAUACUGCCCAGACACCUACGGGUGGCUGCAGUCGAGAAUCUUCGGCAAUGGGCGAAAGCCUGACCGAGCGACGCCGCGUGUGGGAUGAAGGCCCUUGGGUUGUAAACCACUGUCAGAGGGGAUGAAAUGCCAGCGGGUUCUCCCGUUGGUUUGACAUAGCCUCAGAGGAAGCACGGGCUAAGUUCGUGCCAGCAGCCGCGGUAAUACGAACUGUGCAAACGUUAUUCGGAAUCACUGGGCUUAAAGGGUGCGUAGGCGGCCAUUUAAGUAGGGUGUGAAAGCCCCCGGCUCAACCGGGGAACUGCGCUCUAAACUGGGUGGCUGGAGUGAGAUAGGGGUGUGUGGAACUUCCGGUGGAGCGGUGAAAUGUGUUGAUAUCGGAAGGAACGCCGGUGGCGAAAGCGACACACUGGGUCUCAACUGACGCUGAGGCACGAAAGCCAGGGGAGCGAACGGGAUUAGAUACCCCGGUAGUCCUGGCUGUAAAC